GACAGAGGUGCCAAGCGUUAGGCGGAAUCACUGGGCUUAAAGCGUGUGUAGGCGGAAUUGUAAGUACCUUGUGAAAUCCCACGGCUCAACCGUGGAACUGCUCGGUAUACUGCUUUUCUUGAGCCACUUAGGGGUCGUCGGAACAAACGGUGGAGCGGUGAAAUGCGUAGAUAUCCGAAGGAACAUCAGUGGCGAAAGCGGCCUCCUGGACCAGAACUGACGAUCAGGCACGAAAGCGUGGGGAGCAAACAGG
rnacentral:rRNA from 1 species